AACAACUGAUACUGCGAUAGGUGGAAUGAAGGGGUAACGCCCUGAAACGCCUACCCUAAAGCUACGGCUGGCGUUGGCUGGAAACGGCCAGGGUCAGAAGCCCGUUAAAGACGGCUGACUGCGUUCGCUCUGCGCGUAGUAAACAAUGGAAACAGCGGCAGGUGCAAAGCAAGCCAGAGGUGGCUGUGAGCGUUAGGCCGGGGGUCUAUAAA
rfam:Eubacterium plexicaudatum ASF492 genomic scaffold acLZb-supercont1.16, whole genome shotgun sequence.